CCAAAUGCCUGUUUAUGACCUAGCUCAUGAUUUUUAGUGGGAAUUGCCAGAUAUAGAUAAUUCUUGCAAUUCAAAUUCAGCCUUUUUAUUUUUUUAAGUCUCUACAAGGGGAAUGCUAACAGUAACCCAAGCCAGGAAGGACCCAUGGGUGAAAAGAGCCACUUCACUUGCUUUUAAAAGGAGUGUUAGGCUCGGCAUGGUGGCACACACCUAUAAUCCCUGCGACUGGGGAGGCUGAGUCAGGAGGAUCAUGAGUUCAAAGCCAGCCUUAGCAAUUUAGCAAGGCCCUGUCUCUAAUAAAAUACAAAAAGGGCUGGGGAUGUGACUCAGUUGUUAAAUGCCCCUGAGUUCAAUCCCCCAGUAACACCCUUGCCCCCCCCCCAACAAAAAGGGAGUAUUGGGAUAUGAGACACAGCUUGUUUCUAAACACCUGCUCAUAAAUGUUCAAUUGAGGACCCCACUCACAUUCUAUUAAAUCACAAUCACAUUUUAUCAAUGUAUCCAUUUGAUUUGUAUGCACAUUAAAUUUGAGAAUUAUUCGCCUAGAACCAGGGAUAUUACCAACCAGUGAUAUCUGGCAAGUUCCGGGGUCCUGCCCUAGUGGCGUCCAGGGAGUCCUGAAGGAUGAGUGGUGGCUGCGAAAAGAUGAGACAGUCGUGUUGGAGCAAUCUCCAGAGAGCGAGCUCUAAUGGAGCUUUCUCUGGAUCAUCUUUUAUUACAAUUUUUCUCAUCAUUAUAGAUUCAAAAUACAUCAUUGAUUAUACAAUUUCAAAACUUUGCCAAGACAUAAUGUUUUCUUAACCAUAAUUAGAGUAUAGAAAAAUGUAAUAUCAAUUUACAUUUUUCCAGGAUGUGACUUUUAGUUAUCAAUCAUUAAUAAGAUGUGUCACUAAUUUACAUUUUUUCAGAUUUUCCUAAGAUGUACUAUUUUCUUAUUAACUAAUGCCAAAGUACGUAACCAGACUCUAAGUCUCCUAACCUAUCAUUAACCUUUAAGUUUUAAAGUACACCUGCACUUUUAUUUCUAAUCUAAGAUUCCCAUCUAAAAAAGUCCCCUUACGGGGCUGGGGAUGUGGCCCAAGUGGUAGCGCGCUCAUCUGGCAUGCUUGCGGUCCAGGUUUGAUCCUGAGCACCACAUGCAUACAAAAAUGUUGUGUCCGCCGAAAACUAACUAAAUAAAUAAAUAAAAAGUCCCCUUAAAUCUUAAAGUAUCCUAAAGUUUAUUAACCAUUCUUAAAACAUAUUAGAAACCCAUACAAUAAAAACUUAAGAAUUCUAAACCCAAGAAUCUAAAUAGAAUAAUACUUCUAACAUUAUUCUAAAAAUAUAUCUUUUAAAGCUACUUUAAUUUAUUCCUAAAUUUAUUCUCAUAAAACUGAUUGAGCUGCUUUCUCAAAGUGUUUCUUUGUUUCUCAGUCAAGGUGCACUGGUUCUUAUAUCUUUAUAAUCUUUCUCAAUAAAAAGUAAGUUCUAAACAUCAGUCCACUUUCCACCAGUAUUAAGUAUGCUCAUCAUAAAUCCCUAUGUGAAGUAAAAGAGGGUUUAUAGGGAAAUGAAAAGAAUGUAUCCUUAUAUGUCUUAACUUUCCUAAGUGUAUAACUUAACUUUCCUUAAUCAAAAAUUAAAC
rnacentral:lncRNA from 1 species